AACGAACGCUGGUGGCAGGCUUAACACAUGCAAGUCGAACGCAUCCUUCGGGGUGAGUGGCAGACGGGUGAGUAACGCGUGGGAACGUGCCCUUCAGUUCGGGAUAACCCAGGGAAACUUGGGCUAAUACCGGAUACGUGCGAGAGCAGAAAGAUUUAUCGCUGAAGGAUCGGCCCGCGUCUGAUUAGCUAGUUGGUGGGGUAAUGGCCCACCAAGGCGACGAUCAGUAGCUGGCCUGAGAGGAUGAUCAGCCACAUUGGGACUGAGACACGGCCCAAACGCCUACCGGAGGCAGCAGUGGCGAAUAUUGGACAAUGGGCGCAAGCCUGAUCCAGCCAUGCCGCGUGAGUGAUGAAGGCCUUAGGGUUGUAAAGCUCUUUCGUCCGGGACGAUAAUGACGGUACCGGAAGAAGAAGCCCCGGCUAACUUCGUGCCAGCCGCCGCAGUAA
rnacentral:rRNA from 1 species